ACAUGUUGGUGCACUAGGUCCUUCCACUGUCUUUGGAUCUUGCCUUUUUGUUUCAUCAGAUUCUCUUUCUUUUAAAAGAAGUUCUGUGGCUGUCUUAUAAAGACCGAUAGAUGUGCUUCUUGAAGAAUACGAUCGAUCCCCUUUUCAAAUCAUAAUGAGCUGCAACAGCAAGACUUUCUCAUCUCCACCUCCAGGUGAACACUGAAAUGACUGCACUCACAAACACAUCAGCCUUCCUGGGACUAGGGAAGAGCUGUUUUGUGGUCUUCUUUGCAGUCUCUUCAGUUUACCUUAAACUUUAAGCACGUGGCCACCUGGAACCCAAAGAAAAAACAUUGCUAAAUUGGCAGAGAAGAGUGCACUUGUUCAUCAGCCUGCGGACCAGCUGACUUAAUAUGAGGAUUUUGUCACAUAAACUCUACAAAGAAAACUUCAUCAAAACAUCUAAACUCCUUCAUUUGCGUCUUUACACCUCAUAUGAAUCACACUGAUGCCAAUUUUCCUGUUGUUUUCUUCUUAUUAUUCAUUCAAAUGUACUUCGAUAAGCCCUGAUUCUAUGCCUUGGCCAUGUUAUUACUACCUGUGAAAGGUCAAUUCUACUUCCAGUCUGCUGGUGGGAGCAUCCUGUCCCAUGUCUUUAAGAUUUAUCUCAUAUCUUACUUAUGAAGUUUCUUCAGGGUAAGUGUUUCCUCUGAACUAUAUAGUUCACGUCAAAGUCACUAUUUUGAAAUUCUGCGUUAAUCCAUUUAUCAGUUUUCAGGACACGAGGUAAAGUAGGCAUAGGUCUUUCAAGGAACUUAUAAUCAAGUAGAGGUGAUGCCUAUAUUUCAGAAAAUAUGUAGCAAAGUAAAAAAUCCUGUGAGGAAGCGGGGAUAAGGUCACAGGAAUGAGAGAUGACAUGUAAUAUAAAGCCCUUAUGGCAGUACUUGGUACAUGCCAGCCAGGUAUCCAAUAACUAUUAGUGUCUCUUUGUAUGGCUGAGAAAAGGGAUGGGGGAUCUGAGAAGUCCUUAUAGAAGAAGUGACCUUUAGUUUUAAUCACAUAGGUAAACUAUGGAUGAGUAAAAAGCAGGUUAAGAAGAAUAUUUUAGGCCAAGGAGUUUAAUCUAUACCAGCGAGUCACAAACUUGGACACUACAUUACUAAAAGCCCACCAUUUUCAGUUAAUGUAGAUUGUAUCUAUUGAUACAGUAUAUUAAUAUAACAUAGAAAUUUAGAAAACUGAGGAUUUCUUUUU